rnacentral:rRNA from 1 species
UACGAGUGCCCCAAGCGUUAUCCGGAAUUACUGGGCGUAAAGGGUGUGUAGGUGGUUGUGUUAGUCUUCUGUUAAAUUCUUCGGCUUAACCGGGGGCAUGCAGAAGAAACGGCACAACUAGAGGAUACGAGGGGUCUGUGGAACUCAUGGAGUAGGGGUGAAAUCCGUUGAUAUCAUGGGGAACACCAAAAGCGAAGGCAGCAGACUGGCGUAUUCCUGACACUGAAACACGAAAGCGUAGGUAGCGAAUGGG